rnacentral:rRNA from 1 species
ACCUUGGAAGUGCAUCCGAAACUCCCUCGCUCGAGGAUUGGAAGGGAGACUGGAAUUCUCGGUGUAGCGGUGAAAUGCGUAGAUAUCGAGAGGAACACCGGUGGCGAAGGCGGGUCUCUGGACAGUUCCUGACGCUGAGGCACGAAAGCCAGGGGAGCAAACGGGAUUAGAUACCCCGGUAGUCCUGGCCCUAAACGGUGCUCACUUGGUGUGGGAGGGAAUCGACCCCUUCCGUGCCGAAGCUAACGCAUUAAGUGAGCCGCCUGGGGAGUACGGUCGCAAGAUUAAAACUCAAAGAAAUUGACGGGGGCCCGCACAAGCGGUGGAGCAUGUGGCUUAAUUCGAUGCAACGCGAAGAACCUUACCUGGCCUUGACAUGCACGUAGUAGAACCAUGAAAGUGGGACGAGGUA